rnacentral:rRNA from 1 species
GACGAACGCUGGCGGCGUGCUUAACACAUGCAAGUCGAACGAAGUGGCGAACGGGUGAGUAACGCGUAAUCAACCUGCCCUUCAGAGGGGGACAACAGUUGGAAACGACUGCUAAUACCGCAUACUGAAGGAGGGGAUUGCGUUUGAUUAGCUCGUUGGAGGGGUAACGGCCCACCAAGGCGAAGAUCAGGAGCCGGUCUGAGGAGAUGAACGGGCAAAUUGGGACUGAGACACGGCCCAGACUCCUACGGGAGGCAGGAGUGGGGAAUCUUCCGAAAUGGACGAAAGUCUGACUGAGCAACGCCGCGUGAGUGAUGACGGCCUUCGGGUUGUAAAGCUCUGUUAAGCGGGACGCGGUACCGGAAGAGAAAGCCACGGCUAACUACGUGCCAGCAGCCGCGGUAAUUC